rnacentral:rRNA from 1 species
UACGUAGGCAGCAAGCGUUGUUCGGAGUUACUGGGCGUAAAGGGUGUGUAGGCGGUCUACUAAGUCUGGUGUGAAAUCUCCCGGCUCAACGUGGGAGGGUGCGCCGGAAACUGGAAGGCUAGAGUGCGGGAUGGGAGAGUGGAAUUCCUGGUGUAGCGGUGAAAUGCGUAGAUAUCGAGGAGGAACACCUGUGGUGUAGACGGCUCUCUGGACCGCAACUGACGCUGAGACACGAAAGCGUGGGUAGCAAACAGG